rnacentral:rRNA from 1 species
CCUACGGGCGGCAGCAGUGGGGAAUAUUGCACAAUGGGCGAAAGCCUGAUGCAGCAACGCCGCGUGAGCGAUGAAGGCCUUCGGGUCGUAAAGCUCUGUCCUCAAGGAAGAUAAUGCCUGUCCUUGAGGAGGCAGCCCCGGCAAACUACGUGCCCGCAGCCGAGGUACUACGUCGGGGGCUAGGGUUAUCGGGAAUUACUGGGCGUAAGGGUGGCGUAGGUGGUUUUUUAAGUCAGAGGUGAAAGGCUAGGGCUCAACCGGAGUAAGCCUUUGAAACUGGGAAACUUGAGUGCAGGAGAGGAGAGUGGAAUUCCUAGUGUAGCGGUGAAAUGCGUAGAUAUUAGGAGGAACACCAGUGGCGAAGGCGGCUCUCUGGACUGUAACUGACACUGAGGCACGAAAGCGUGGGGAGCAAACAGGAUUAGAUACCCGAGUAGUC